rnacentral:rRNA from 1 species
GACGAACGCUGGCGGCGUGCCUAAUACAUGCAAGUCGAGCGAGCGGAACUAACAGAUUUACUUCGGUAAUGACGUUAGGAAAGCGAGCGGCGGAUGGGUGAGUAACACGUGGGGAACCUGCCCCAUAGUCUGGGAUACCACUUGGAAACAGGUGCUAAUACCGGAUAAGAAAGCAGAUCGCAUGAUCAGCUUUUAAAAGGCGGCGUAAGCUGUCGCUAUGGGAUGGCCCCGCGGUGCAUUAGCUAGUUGGUAAGGUAAAGGCUUACCAAGGCGAUGAUGCAGAGCGGAGUUGAGGGACUGCUCGGCCACAUUGGGACGGAGACACCCCCCAAACUCCUCGGGAGGGCGCCAGUGGGGAAUCUUCCACAAGGGCCGCAAGUCUGAGGGAGCACCGCGGGGUGAGUAAAGAGGUUUUUGGGAUCGAAAAGUUUUUUUUUUGGUAAAAAAGAAAAGGGGAAGUAACUGGCUUUUUUUUGACGGAAACCAACAAGAAAGCCCCGGCUACCUACGUC